GGGAUGAGAUCUAACGGUGAGCUAAGCAUGUAGUACCGGGCGUCAAACGCCUUCGGACGCGGGUUCGACUCCCGCCACCUCCACCA
rnacentral:tRNA from 1 species